ACUGACGGCCGGCCGGCUUCCCGGAACUGGAAGGUUACAUUGAUUACCCACCUAGUACAACAUCUUACGGGAAGAGCAUAGUAUUUCCUAGAGGAAUAUGAACAUAACAGGAAGGUAUCAUUGGCUCUGAAUUAAAUUUGAACUUGUCCCCUGAAUAGCUACAGGUUUUGGAAGCUGAAUCAAUGUUAUCAGAUGAGUUAGAAUCCAAACCAGAGUUACUAAACCAAGGAGAUUUAACUGAAAGACGGACAUGAGCGUGGGUGCUGACUCCUGGAAGAGCAACUCUAUCUGAUCUCAAAAUGCGUAUACUGGGAACAGGAUGCCUUAGCCCACAACAGAACCAGAAUGAAUCUUUGAAGGCACAAGACUCUGCUUUUGCCACUCUUCCUCUUUCCUGGUAUAGAAGAUGGAUGUAGGAGAGCUUCUUUUCUAACUACCAUCUGAUCAGACAAGGAAUGAAGCAAUGACUGUGGGCUGGGAAACUGUACCUACCUCUCUUCCCACUGCAAAUUUCUGGGAUAGACCAAAAGUGAAUUUGAUUAUGUGUUGGCUGAAGUUCUUCAUUCUGACUGUUGAGGGGAGGUUUUCCUUUGAAGAGUUUUCAUCCCAGACUCAGCUGUCUUUUCACAUGGAUGAAAUAAUUCCUGCUACCAACAACAGAGCUUCACCAGGAAGUUGAGUUUUCAAGAUGCCUUGUUGCUUUGAAGAAGGGAGUGAUGUCAAUUCUCUUGUUACAUUCUCCCUUUAGCAACCUGAGUAAGAGACUCUCUGCCACUGGGCUGCAAAAAAAUAAAUUACUUGAAUCUCCCCUUG
rnacentral:lncRNA from 1 species